rnacentral:rRNA from 1 species
AACGAACGCUGGCGGCAGGCCUAACACAUGCAAGUCGAGCGAGGACUUCGGUCCUAGCGGCGGACGGGUGAGUAACGCGUGGGAACGUGCCCUUUGCUUCGGAAUAGCCCUGGGAAACUGGGAGUAAUACCGGAUGAGCCCUUUGGGGGAAAGAUUUAUCGGCGAAGGAUCGGCCCGCGUUGGAUUAGGUAGUUGGUGGGGUAAUGGCCUACCAAGCCGACGAUCCAUAGCUGGUUUGAGAGGAUGAUCAGCCACACUGGGACUGAGACACGGCCCAGACCCCUACGGGAGGCAGCAGUGGGGAAUCUUAGACAAUGGGGGAAACCCUGAUCGAGCCAUGCCGCGUGAGCGAUGAAGGCCUUAGGGUUGUAAAGCUCUUUCAGCUGGGAAGAUAAUGACGGUACCAGCAGAAGAAGCCCCGGCUAACUCCGUG